rnacentral:rRNA from 1 species
GUGGGGAAUUUUGGACAAUGGGCGCAAGCCUGAUCCAGCAAUGCCGCGUGCAGGAAGAAGGCCUUCGGGUUGUAAACUGCUUUUGUACGGAACGAAAAGGCUCUGGUUAAUACCUGGGGCUCAUGACGGUACCGUAAGAAUAAGCACCGGCUAACUACGUGCCAGCAGCCGCGGUAAUACGUAGGGUGCAAGCGUUAAUCGGAAUUACUGGGCGUAAAGCGUGCGCAGGCGGUGCUGUAAGACAGGCGUGAAAUCCCCGGGCUCAACCUGGGAAUUGCGCUUGUGACUGCAGUGCUGGAGUGCGGCAGAGGGGGAUGGAAUUCCGCGUGUAGCAGUGAAAUGCGUAGAUAUGCGGAGGAACACCGAUGGCGAAGGCAAUCCCCUGGGCCUGCACUGACGCUCAUGCACGAAAGCGUGGGGAGCAAACAGGAUUAGAUACCCCGGUAGUCC